UGGGGUGUUACAGUAACGGUCCCGGAAAUUCAAAAAAAAAUACAUAUAAUAAUCUGAGUGCGGAAGCGAAAUAAAAGAUUAAAGUUAACAUCCCUUACAUAAUAACUUAAAAGUACUAAACAAUAUCACAGAAUAAGUUCUCUAAAGAAAAUACGAGAAAUAAAAAAAUUAAAAGAAACUCGAAAGUAUCUAGUAUCUACUCGUUGUUUUCUUGUGGAUCGGGCUCGAGAACCAGGUCCUCAUGAUCUGAAAUGGUUAAAUAAGAAAUGAGCUACACUAGCCCAAUAAGGACAUCACAUUAUAUCACCGUCACAUAAGCAAAUGUUGGUAGAAAACCAAAAACAACCAAUGGAGCACAAAUUUUAAACAAAUUCAUUUAUCAAUAAUCAAAUCAUUUACCGUCCACUUACUGCAGUAAGAUUUAUAAAAACAACCUAUGGAAACAAUAACAUUAUAAAUAUCAUGAAUUGAUAUAUAAUCUGUAACAUAGCACAUAUCAUACUUUUAUAUUCAAAUCAUCAAACAACAAUUGCCCUUUUUUUUUAUAUCAACCUUCUAGUAUCCAUGGGGAUCCAUAGGGGUCCUUACUACAAGUGAACUAUUCCCUUUAAAUAAUUUUAAUUCCAUAGCGAUUCCCAUACCCUGUCCGGUGUGAGUGCCAAAAUAAUAAACCUCAAUACCCCGUCUGGUAUGAGGGUGAAGUGGGCCAUCCUCAUACCCCGUCUGGUAUGAGCGCCAAAUGACCAAGUUUCCAUACCCCGUCCGGUAUGAGACAACGUUCACGGUAGGGUUCCCUAUGAAUCUGGUCCAUCCACCAUCUCCUAAGAUAUCUAGUGAGGCUGUCAUCUUAUCCAUUUAUCAAAUCACAUUCCAUUCCUAUUUCUCCUUAGUCUUCGUUACCAACUCAAACAUAAAUAUAUAAACAAGUAACUUGAUUUGACGCUGAAAACUAGAUUAUCACUGCGCCUACGGGCGGAUCCUGGGUUCCCUGAAUUUUUUUCUUGGGAAUUGAAACGCGCUUAUGGUAUCUACACAUAUCCCAAAUAACCUAAAAAUAAGACCCAGGGUCUACUCGGUCAAUUUUAGAAUCCCGCUGUGCUCUAGCAGCGAUCCACAUCAGGUUGGCUGUUUUUGGCUCUUUCUAGCCGAAUUCAGCCAAACUUGCAUCGGUUCCUGUGAGAAAACACACUUAGGGCCUUCGGUGGGCCGAAAAAAUGUGAAAAACUGAAACUCACUGGCGGUGGGACUCUCCAGUGCGGCGGCUCCUUCGGCUUACGUCGUGAUUGGGUAUUUUGCUCCGGUCAACCUGUAGAGGAAGAAACGGUGAUCACAACGGUGGUAAAAUUACAUUGAACGGGAAUCGGGAAGGGUCUCAUCGGAGGUAAAAAUCGAGACACCCUACGACAGCGUCGCUGAGCUUCAACGACAUUUUCCGACCAAUUGGCCAGUGCUUUCGCUCCAAUUUGACCAUAGGUGGGUUUAGAAUCAAAUUCUGAGCAAAAGGUAGAAUUUUUACCUCGUUUGGCGGCCGAAAAUUGCUCCGGUACGGCGGCAGGUGGCGGCGGUUGGCUCCCCAGCGGCUGGGCUGUCUUCUCCGGCGAGGGGCUCUGGCGGCUAGGGUUAAGAUUUGGAUUUGGGCAGUUGAGGUUAUUUAUACACAUCCGCUUUUGAUCUGAGUCGUCCAUCGCUUUUAAUCUGGACCGUCCGAUCGCGAUUAAAUAGGGAAUGAAUUUGGGCCGCUCAUCGCGAUUCAAUCUGAGCCGUCCGUGCGCGAUUCAAUCUGGGCCGUCUGUGCGCACGGGAACGGAUCUCAUCCAUUCGAUCGCACGCAUGCGGAUCGCCUACAUGGCUCCCUCCCGUGUGGUCUCCCGCGUCAACAUUUCUGCCACCUGGCGCAUCCUGGUUUGUCGGGGCUGCUGACCGGGCAGCUGACGUGACACAACAUUUCUAAAUUACGUUUUGACCCAAAUUUCUGAUUUUUCUUUCAAAAAUACUCAUAGAACCCAAAUUUUCACCCAUUUUUUCAAAAUUAUUUUCAAUUAAAUCCCUAAAUAAUUUUUACCCAUUAUUAUUAUUAUUAUUAUUUUCAUUAAAUUAAAUUAAAUUCUAUUAAUACUUAAUUAUAUUUAUAUAGAAUAAAUUAAAUUAAAAUAAUAAUAAUAAAAUAAAAAAGAAAUAGUUGGGUGUUACACACAUGAAAAAUAUACAUAAGCAAUGUAUAUAUAUAUAUUUACAUAUAUAGUUUUUGUUUCCUUCCUACAUUUAUAUCAAAUUCAUUCAAAUAAAUAUAUUUUUACAUAUUCAUUAUAAUUUAUAUAUGUAUAUCUCAUAUGCAUAAUAUGCAUUCCUAUACAUACACUAUAUAUAUAUAUAUAUACAUAUAAAUAUAUAUAACUUAAUUUUUAUCACCCUCUCAUUAUACCAAGCUACUCUCACCAUCUCUCUAUUUAAGUUCAAAUUUUUCAUUUAAAAUCAAAAAAACUUAAAAUGUAUUUAUUUUAAACAUCAUGCAAAACUAUUUAGAAAGAGAAUAAUGAAAGAAAAAAAAAAGAACUCACAUUUGGAUAAUUUGAAAGAAGAACCUACGUGAGAGGGGCGGUCACACAGUAGUUACGCUUCCCGCGGUGUCCCAGCUCAACCUUCUUCUUCCCUCCGCCACGCCGAUUGUGCCAAUGCUUCUUCACUCUCUUCUUCCCGUCACUUCUCUCCCUCUCCUCCUCAUUCUUCUUUUCUUAUCUUUUUUUUUUUAUUUGGUAGAUUGAAAGAGAGGAAAAAAUGUUUUGUUUGGUAUUUAUAUGAUGGGAGAAGGGAUAAGGAUGAUGAGGUGACAACCCAGGAGAGGGACGAAAUCUUCCCAUCCAUGCGAAUGGUGGCCACCGCUAUACCAUUUCCAAAUCUUUCCAUGUUUC
rnacentral:lncRNA from 1 species